rnacentral:rRNA from 1 species
CAGCUUGUUGGUGAGGUAACGGCUCACCAAGGCGACGACGGGUAGCCGGCCUGAGAGGGUGACCGGCCACACUGGGACUGAGACACGGCCCAGACUCCUACGGGAGGCAGCAGUGGGGAAUAUUGCACAAUGGGCGAAAGCCUGAUGCAGCGACGCCGCGUGAGGGAUGAAGGCCUUCGGGUUGUAAACCUCUUUCAGCAGGGACGAAGCGUGAGUGACUGUACCUGCAGAAAAAGCACCGGCUAACUACGUGCCAGCAGCCGCGGUAAUACGUAGGGUGCGAGCGUUGUCCGGAAUUACUGGGCGUAAAGAGUUCGUAGGCGGUUUGUCGCGUCGUUUGUGAAAACCCGGGGCUCAACUUCGGGCUUGCAGGCGAUACGGGCAGACUUGAGUGUUUCAGGGGAGACUGGAAUUCCUGGUGUAGCGGUGAAAUGCGCAGAUAUCAGGAGGAACACCGGUGGCGAAGGCGGGUCUCUGGGAAACAACUGACGCUGAGGAACGAAAGCGUGGGUAGCAAACAGGAUUAGAUACCCUGGUAGUCCACGCCGUAAACGGUGGGCGCUAGGUGUGGGUUCCUUCCACGGAAUCUGUGCCGUAGCUAACGCAUUAAGCGCCCCGCCUGGGGAGUACGGAAUCUCUAGAGGAUCC